UGUCUCGCGAGCUUGCGCAACAGAUAGCAUAACCUGCCACGAUUUUCCCAUCUCACAAUAUUUGAGCCAGUCUUUGGGCCAAGUCCUAGAACGGAAGAUGGCUUGGUCAAAGAUAAUAUAAUCCUUUUGUCGAAUUUUUCUGCUUCCAACAUCAUAGAGUCCGAAUCCAUACCGAACCAAACUACUCUCAAAAGUCCAAUUUGCUACACACUGCCGGCAAGAUCC